rnacentral:rRNA from 1 species
GUGCCAGCCGCCGCGGUAAUACGGAGGGUGCGAGCGUUGUCCGGAAUCACUGGGCGUAAAGGGCGCGUAGGUGGCGCGGGCAGUCAACGGUGAAAGCUCGGGGCUCAACCCCGAGUCGGCCGUCGAUACUCCCGUGCUUGAGCACUGUAGAGGCAGGUGGAAUUCCGGGUGUAGCGGUGGAAUGCGUAGAGAUCCGGAAGAACACCGGUGGCGAAGGCGGCCUGCUGGGCAGUUGCUGACACUGAGGCGCGACAGCGUGGGGAGCAAACAGGAUUAGAUACCCCCGUAGUCC